rnacentral:lncRNA from 1 species
CUCUUCCUGAUGCCUUCGGAUCUGGAUAUAGAAUGCUCUCCUCCUCUCAAGCACCAGGUCUGCCUACACACGGCUGUGCUUCCCACCAUGAUGAUAAUGAACUAAACCCCUGAAACUAAGCCAGCCCAGAGUAUGUUUUCCAUCAUGAGAGCUGCCAUGGUCAUGGGGUCUCUUCACAGCAAGAGAACCCCUGACUCAGACAGUAGCCAUGUCUGUUUGUCAACUUGAUGAUACCCGGAAUGAGCAAUCAUCCAGAAGUGGAGGACAUACCUAUGGGAGAUGACUCCGCUGGUUUUGUAGUGGAUGAAUCUACUUCUAGACCAGCUUUGAGGUGAGAUCUGGAUCUUGAGGUGGGAAGACAUACCUUUAACCUGGGCCACACCCUCUGCUGGAAGUCUAUGGAAGAGGACGACAUAGGAAGCUUUCGUUCUUUGCCUGCUCACCCUCGCCUCUCGAGCACAUCCAUCCCUUCACUGGCGUUAGCGCCGCCUACUUCUGCGGGAUUCCGGCAGAUACAGGAGAUCAGCUGAGACAUCCAGCCUUGUGGACCAAGCAACCACUGGAUUCUUGGGCUUUAUGUUCAUGGUCAAUUGUUGUUUGAUUAGCUGGACAACAGCCUCUCUCUCUCUCUCUCUCUCUCUCCAUAUAUAUAUGUAUAUAUAUGAGAUAGAUAGAUAGAUAGAUAGAUAGAUAGAUAGAUAGAUAGAUAGAUAGAUAGAGAAAAGUAGAUAGACAGAGAGGGGGGAGAGAGAUUCAUUCUAUAAGUUCUGCUCUAGAGAACCGUGACGAAUACACCUUCUUCUUAACCUUCUUCUUCUUCUUCUUCUUCUUCUUCUUCUUCUUCUUCUUCUUCUUCUUCUUCUUCUUCUUCUUCUUCUUCUUCUUCUUCUUCUUCUUCUUCUUUUUCUGAGAGAUAGUCUCCCAUAGUUGCUCAGGCCCUUGGGCUUCCUCUUCAGCACAAAUAGCUUUGAAUUUUCUCUCCUGUCUCAGCCUCCAGUAGCUAUAGUCUGUUGCCACCAGGUUUGGCUUACUAGCAUUAUUUUGACACCACUAAUUUUGUGUCAUAGCAUCAAUAGAAAAACCAGCUGAGUCUAGUCAAUGGAAAACCCAAAACAAGACGUUAGCAUAGGUGCCACCAGCAAUAUCUGCAGAAGACCACGGACUCGGAGUGGAGUCCAGCAUCUGCUCAGUACACCAAGCAAAUGUCGGGAAAGUUCAAAGGCAGGAUCUGCGAAUCAUUGGCUCCUGGAGACCCUGAAAUGGACUGAGCAGCUAACUAUUAAGUCCUGUGUGUAUGUGUCAGUUCUCUUGCUCUGCAGACACCUUCAGAAUUCAGCGCUGGCUGCCGUUCUUAGAACCUGUUCUGUUCUUGGAGCAGUGUCAUUGUUGUAUUGUUUUCUUUGUUCAACUAAACUCUACUUCCUAUG